UACGUAGGGUGCGAGCGUUGUCCGGAAUUAUUGGGCGUAAAGAGCUCGUAGGCGGCCGGUUGCGUCUGCUGUGAAAUCCCGGGGCUUAACCCCGGGCGUGCAGUGGAUACGGGCCGGCUGGAGGCAGGCAGGGGAGAAUGGAAUUCCCGGUGUAGCGGUGAAAUGCGCAGAUAUCGGGAAGAACACCCGUGGCGAAGGCGGUUCUCUGGGACGGUACUGACGCUGAGACGCGAAAGCGUGGGGAGCAAACAGG
rnacentral:rRNA from 1 species